rnacentral:rRNA from 1 species
CAGUCGUACCUUCGGGUAAUCAGCCUUUCGAGUGCGAUUCUGUGGAGUGUGAGGAGCUAAACACCUUCAUGCCUGCAUAUUCGUGCUCUUGGGUGUACUUGCUCGUGUGGUUGGUUAACAUCAAUCGUUUCCCUUUCAA